rnacentral:rRNA from 1 species
CAGUCGCCGCGGUAAUACGAAGGGGGCUAGCGUUGUUCGGAAUUACUGGGCGUAAAGGGCGCGUAGGCGGCCAUUCAAGUCAGAUGUGAAAGCCCUGGGCUCAACCUAGGAAUUGCAUUUGAUACUGUUUGGCUUGAGUUCGGAAGAGGUGAGUGGAAUUCCCAGUGUAGAGGUGAAAUUCGUAGAUAUUGGGAAGAACACCAGUGGCGAAGGCGGCUCACUGGACCGACACUGACGCUGAGGCGCGAAAGCGUGGGGAGCAAACAGGAUUAGAUACCCCAGUAGUCCCUGUCUCUUAUAC